UGGGCGUAAGGGCUCGCAGGCGGUUUCUUAAGUCUGAUGUGAAAGCCCCCGGCUCUACCGGGGAGGGUCAUUGGAAACUGGGAAACUUGAGUGCACAAGAGGAGAGUGGAAUUCCACGUGUAGCGGUGAAAUGCGUAGAGAUGUGGAGGAACACCAGUGGCGAAGGCGACUCUCUGGUCUGUAACUGACGCUGAGGAGCGAAAGCGUGGGGAGCGAACAGGAUUAGAUACCCUGGUAGUCCACGCCGUAAACGAUGAGUGCUAAGUGUUAGGGGGUUUCCGCCCCUUAGUGCUGCACCUAACGCAUUACGCACUCCUCCUGGGGAGGACGGUCGCAAGACUGAAACUCAAGGGAUGUUGACGGGGGCCCG
rnacentral:rRNA from 1 species